CCUACGGGGUGCAGCAGUGGGGAAUAUUGGACAAUGGGGGCAACCCUGAUCCAGCCAUGCCGCGUGUGUGAAGAAGGCCCUCGGGUUGUAAAGCACUUUCAGUGAGGAAGAACGCCUGGUGGUUAAUACCCAUCAGGAAAGACAUCACUCACAGAAGAAGCACCGGCUAACUCCGUGCCAGCAGCCGCGGUAAUACGGAGGGUGCGAGCGUUAAUCGGAAUUACUGGGCGUAAAGCGCGCGUAGGUGGCUUGAUAAGCCGGUUGUGAAAGCCCCGGGCUCAACCUGGGAACGGCAUCCGGAACUGUCAAGCUAGAGUGCAGGAGAGGAAGGUAGAAUUCCCGGUGUAGCGGUGAAAUGCGUAGAGAUCGGGAGGAAUACCAGUGGCGAAGGCGGCCUUCUGGACUGACACUGACACUGAGGUGCGAAAGCGUGGGUAGCAAACAGGAUUAGAUACCCGAGUAGUC
rnacentral:rRNA from 1 species